rnacentral:tRNA from 1 species
UUCCUGGUGGUCCAGUGGUUAAGACUCUGUGCUCCCAAGGCAGGGGGCCUGGGUUGAAUCCCUGGUCAGGGAA